rnacentral:tRNA from 1 species
GUUUUCGUGGUUUAAGUAGGACAUUAGGCUCGUAUUCGAGAGCUCCAGGUUCGAGUCCUGGCGAGAGCA